rnacentral:tRNA from 2 species
GGUUUCGUAGUGUAGUGGUUAGCACUCGACUUUGAAUCUGGCGACCUGGGUUCGAAUCCCGGCGAGACCU